rnacentral:rRNA from 1 species
AUUGAACGCUGGCGGCAGGCCUAACACAUGCAAGUCGAGCGGAUGAAGGGAGCUUGCUCCUGGAUUCAGCGGCGGACGGGUGAGUAAUGCCUAGGAAUCUGCCUGGUAGUCGGGGAUAACGUCCGGAAACGGGCGCUAAUACCGCAUACGUCCUGAGGGAGAAAGUGGGGGAUCUUCGGACCUCACGCUAUCAGAUGAGCCUAGGUCGGAUUAGCUAGUUGGUGGGGUAAAGGCCUACCAAGGCGACGAUCCGUAACUGGUCUGAGAGGAUGAUCAGUCACACUGGAACUGAGACACGGUCCAGACCCCUACGGGAGGCAGCAGUGGGGAAUAUUGGACAAUGGGCGAAAGCCUGAUCCAGCCAUGCCGCGUGUGUGAAGAAGGUCUUCGGAUUGUAAAGCACUUUAAGUUGGGAGGAAGGGCAGUAAGUUAAUACCUUGCUGUUUUGACGUUACCAACAGAAUAAGCACCGGCUAACUUCGUG